AAAACCUGUUAACCAUAUUUAGAAAGUUCCUCCCCCUAAAAACCACCAACGCGCUUGUCAAGAGCACUUAUAAAGGCUGAGUCUUCUCUUCCAAAUUCAACAAGCUCACCUGACAGCUCACGACAAACAACUGAAUCCUGUGUGACUCUCUGCCUGUCCAGACUUCAGCUGCAACAAUGUCGCAAAUCGGUAACGUCAAGGAUGUCAGUGCUUGCAGUAACGCAGGCAAAAUUGGUGCCGACAACACGUAUGAUGUACAAGGUGGUGCUGGAAAAAAUGCUUCUCUGGGUAACGUCACUGACGUCAAAGUCUGUGGAGCAAAUGAUGGCAAAAUCGGAGCAGAAAACCAGUAUGACAUCAAAGGGGGACUGGGAGAUUGUUCCAGUAUUGGAAACGUUUCUGUGGUCAGUGUUGGUGAAAACUCAGGCACCAUUGGUGCCGGCAACAAGAUCAACAUCAGCUGAGGAACUUGCCCCUCAAUAAAUGGACAACUCUUCUAAGAAUUAUGUUUUUUGGCUAAUAAUUGAAAUGCCUUAGUAUAAGUAGUAGUAGUAGAGGUGGUUGUUGUUGUAUCAGUAGCAGUAGUAGGAAUAUGUUUUAGCAAAUGUUUAACUCGUGAUUUCAAACUAGCAAAAAUUACUCUUUCAUGAGCUGAAUGUAAAAAAAGUUUCAAUAAAAAUAAA